rnacentral:rRNA from 1 species
AGCGAACGCUGGCGGCAGGCCUAACACAUGCAAGUCGAACGAACUCUUCGGAGUUAGUGGCGGACGGGUGAGUAACACGUGGGAACGUGCCUUUUGGUUCUGAAUAACUCAGGGAAACUUGUGCUAAUACCGAAUGUGCCCUUCGGGGGAAAGAUUUAUCGCCAUUAGAGCGGCCCGCGUCUGAUUAGCUAGUUGGUGAGGUAACGGCUCACCAAGGCGACGAUCAGUAGCUGGUCUGAGAGGAUGACCAGCCACACUGGGACUGAGACACGGCCCAGACUCCUACGGGAGGCAGCAGUGGGGAAUCUUGCGCAAUGGGCGAAAGCCUGACGCAGCCAUGCCGCGUGAAUGAUGAAGGUCUUAGGAUUGUAAAAUUCUUUCACCGGGGACGAUAAUGACGGUACCCGGAGAAGAAGCCCCGGCUAACUUCGUG